GAACGACAUUCAUGUCUACUGUAACGACAUGAACGUAGUUUGCAUUCCCUGUGAGAAAAUAGGAACUUGAAUACCUAAAAUACUAAAAUUUGAUUCCAACGGUACAAAAAUAUUUCAAUAACACAAUGAGUACAAAAUCUAAUAAGUGAUUUCAUUCAGUUGAUAUAAUAAGUACGAAGUCGUACAGUUACAAAACAGGAUAGUGUUACAACAUUAAUGUUCACUACUAGCUGCUUGGCCCGUGCAAGUGGAUCGAACAUGACCAGUUUUCUUGCACCUGCUGCACUUACGAGCCACACGCGUCUCUCCGGCCGACCUUUUCCUCUUUUUUGAUGGUCGUCCGCCCUGUCUUCGUACCAAUGGUGGAAAUACUUCUCUGGCUAUCACAUUCUUAGGAAUUUGCCAUUCGACCUCGUUCGGCAAAGGAUAUACGAAUUUAGAAUAAGCUUGCUUCCAACAGAUACUAGUGUAAAAGGGGGUACAUAAUUUAUAGCCCUCGUCUCCUUUAAACCUUGCUGCAGCAAUUGCAUGCGCACAUGGAAACUUGUCCAAAUCAAAUCUUCUACACGUACAUGUCAUUUCGUAAAAAUCCACAAAGUGGUGUUCUAAAUUGUCACCAACUUGAUAAAUGUCCGGAGAAACCUGAUUUACCUCCAACCCAUUUGACUCAUUAUAUGUCAUGCACAUCUUUUUCUCUAAUGCUGGCGUGAGUUGGGUCACACAUUUUUCUGCUUCAACAUGUCUUUCAUAAAACCACCUUUGUAGUAUCCCACGAAUAUAUUCUAGUAAACCAACUAUGGGAAGUUCUCGAGCACUCUUCAACAAACCAUUUAUAGAUUCCGCAUUAUUUGUAGUCAUGAUAUUGUAACGUAUCCCGGUAAAAUGCGCUCUAGCCCAACAUUGAAAAUCUUCUUCUAAUAGGUACUCUUUGAUGCCCUCCUUUUUACUGCAUAGAGCUGCCAUGUAGGACUCAAAGUCGGUUACAGUAUAAGCCUCUGACGCUGCCCUAAACAAAGUUGCAACAUCACACCGUGGAAAAUUUGUCUUCAAGUUCUUUUGCAAGUGAUAUAUACAAUUACUAUGAUGAGCAAAUCGAAACACAUUUCUAACUCCAUUUUUGAUGCACUUUGCACGAGCAGAUAUAAUCACAAGGUCAUCCGUAUCACCUGUUAUUAACCGCGACUUCUAAAAGAACCAAGUCCAGGAUUCAUCAUUCUCCGAAUCAACUACUCCCCAUGCGAGUGGAAAUAUUUGAAAAUUUGCAUCUUGAGAAGUUGCUACGAGUAGAGUACCUUUCAUUCUCGAUGUCAAGAAUGCACCAUCUACAAAAAUUACCUUUCGAAUUGAGUUUACGAACCCAUGUAUACUUGGUCCCAAUGCCAUAAAAAGGUACUUGAAGCGCCGAUCAUCAUUAGUAUGAAUGAAUGUCAGUGUACCAGGAUUUUGCGUCUCCAAAACAUGACAAUAUGCUGGCAAUUUCACAUAACUCUCACGGGGUUUCCCACGAAUCAGUCCACAAGCAAAUUUUUUAGCCAUGUACGCUUUAGUAUAGCUUACGGUUAUGCCGAACUCUCGACGAAUGUCAUUAAUAAUGUCCCUUGGUCUGUAAACUCGAUUGACAUCUUCAUACUUAGGAGCGAUGUGGUUUCCAAUAAUCAUAUAUGAAGCAUGCCUAUGAUCUCUGUGACGAACACUCAUGGAGCAAGAAUGAUGACCAUUAUACUUUCGAACUUCGAAAAUGGGACUUUCUACGAUCUUGGUUGCCCGUAAGCGCCACUUGCAAUUUUCAUCAAUACAAAUAAUUGUAUGAGUGAUUUUAUUUGACUUCUUAACUUUGUACUCAAACUGGCACUUCACAGCUAGCAACUGUAAUUUUGAUAUUAGGUCAUAUUUCGAUGGAAACAACUGGUUGACUCGCACAUCUAAUCGUUCCGGAAUUUUUACUGAUGUCUCGUAACAGAGCGAACUUACACUUUCAGAUACAAUCUGAGUACAUUCAACAUCAUUAUUAUUCACUAUAUCCCUACUGCAAGGUUCGUGCGUGCGUAACUCAAAAUUAUUGUUAUCUGCCACAGGAGAAUUAACUUCGUCAUCUACCCUUCGGGGACUAUCUUCACUUACGUCAAAACCAUUACAAUCUACAAAUAUUCCAUCAUCAUUGUCAUCAUUACCAUUAUUGUCUGCUUGAUCUUGUUCCUCCUCGUUGUUCAUAUUUCCAAUUUGUUCUCCACCAUCUAUUACUAAUAAAUAUCCUUCAUCACCAAAAUCUUCCUGAUUCUCAACAACUUCAUUUAAAAUACUUACACAAAGAAAAGUUUCUGUACAGGCAAAUAUAAACCACUUUACGUUGUUGUCACAAUCAAUUAUGAUUGGUGCAGCUGGAGCUUUAGACAUUAUCGGGACAAGAGCUGAAAUCUCCAUUUUGUAUAGACUCGUAUCGAUUAUCAAUGCCUUCUUAACUUUAUCAUAUAGUUCCAUGUAAGAAAUUAUUUUUGCAACAAGAAUAUGUAUUGUUUUCCCUUUGCCAUUUCCAGAAUACUUCCAUUUCCGUCCACCUUCAACUGUCUGCUCAUAUUCAAUUGGAUAACAAAUCGAUAUCCAUACCAUGUCCAUGGUGUCCAUAACCUGUAACUCAACAUGUAAAUUUUAUCAAAUUUCAAACAUCAUACAGUAUUGAUAAUGAUAUAUAUGUUGUCAUGGAUUUCAGAAAACGAUAUCUAUGUCGUUCACAAUUUCAUAAAACGAUAUGAAUGUCG
rnacentral:lncRNA from 1 species